rnacentral:misc_RNA from 1 species
GAUGAAGAACGCAGUGAAAUGCGAUACUUGGUGUGAAUUGCAGAAUCCCGUGAACCAUCGAGUCUUUGAACGCAAGUUGCGCCCGAAGCCACUAGGCCGAGGGCAUGCCUGCCUGGGCGUCACACGUCGUUGCCCCCCCCCCAUCUACUCCUUCGGGAUUGCGGGGGGCGGAUGAUGGCCUCCCGUGCGCCUAGCCGCGCGGUUGGCAUAAAUACCAAGUCCUCGGCGACGCACGCCACGACAAUCGGUGGUUGCGAAACCUCGGUUGCCCGUCGUGUGCGUUCGUCGCGCAUCGAGGGCUCGAAAAAAUGCUCGGCUCCGGCUCGGCUUUCAACGCGACCCCAGGUCAGGCGGGGUUACCCGCUGAAUUUAAGCAUAUCAAUAAGCGGAGGA